rnacentral:rRNA from 1 species
GCCUACGGGGGGCAGCAGUGGGGAAUCUUGCGCAAUGGGCGAAAGCCUGACGCAGCAACGCCGCGUGGGGGAUGACGGCCUUCGGGUUGUAAACCUCUUUCGACAGGGACGAAGCUUUCGGGUGACGGUACCUGUAGAAGAAGCACCGGCUAACUACGUGCCAGCAGCCGCGGUAAUACGUAGGGUGCGAGCGUUGUCCGGAUUUAUUGGGCGUAAAGAGCUCGUAGGCGGUUUGUCGCGUCGGCCGUGAAAACCUGCAGCUUAACUGUGGGCGUGCGGUCGAUACGGGCAGACUUGAGUUCGGCAGGGGAGACUGGAAUUCCUGGUGUAGCGGUGAAAUGCGCAGAUAUCAGGAGGAACACCGGUGGCGAAGGCGGGUCUCUGGGCCGAUACUGACGCUGAGGAGCGAAAGCAUGGGGAGCGAACAGGAUUAGAUACCCUGGUAGG